CCCGCUGAACUUAAGCAUAUCAAUAAGCGGAGGAAAAGAAACUAACAAGGAUUCCCCUAGUAACUGCGAGUGAAGCGGGAAAAGCUCAAAUUUAAGAUCUGGCUGUGUAUGCAGUCCGAGUUGUAAUUUAGAGAAGUAUUAUCCGCGCUAGCCUGUACACAAGUCUCUUGGAAUAGAGCGUCAUAGAGGGUGAGAAUCCCGUCUUUGGUACAGACCCUAGGGCAUUGUGAUGUGCUCUCGAAGAGUCGAGUUGUUUGGGAAUGCAGCUCAAAAUGGGUGGUAAAUUCCAUCUAAAGCUAAAUAUUGGGGAGAGACCGAUAGCGAACAAGUACCGUGAGGGAAAGAUGAAAAGAACUUUGGAAAGAGAGUUAAACAGUACGUGAAAUUGCUGAAAGGGAAACGCUUGAAGUCAGUCGCGAUGGGCGGGACUCAGCCAUGCUUUUGUGUGGUGUACUUCCUGUUCAUUGGGUCAACAUCAGUUUUGGUCAGUGGAAAAAGGUUCAGGGAAUGUGGCUCUUUCGGGAGUGUUAUAGCCUUGGGUCAUAUACAUUGACUGGGACUGAGGAACUCAGCACGCCGCAAGGCCGGGUUUUUAACCACGUUCGUGCUUAGGAUGUUGGCAUAAUGGCUUUAAUCGACCCGUCUUGAAACACGG
rnacentral:rRNA from 1 species